GACGAACGCUGGCGGCGUGCUUAACACAUGCAAGUCGAACGGAAAGGCCCUGCUUGCAGGGUACUCGAGUGGCGAACGGGUGAGUAACACGUGGGUGAUCUGCCCUGCACUUCGGGAUAAGCCUGGGAAACUGGGUCUAAUACCGGAUAGGAGCCAUUUUUAUUGUGAUGGUUGGAAAGUUUUUUCGGUGUAGGAUGAGCUCGCGGCCUAUCAGCUUGUUGGUGGGGUAAUGGCCUACCAAGGCGGCGACGGGUAGCCGGCCUGAGAGGGUGGACGGCCACAUUGGGACUGAGAUACGGCCCAGACUCCUACGGGAGGCAGCAGUGGGGAAUAUUGCACAAUGGGCGCAAGCCUGAUGCAGCGACGCCGCGUGGGGGAUGACGGCCUUCGGGUUGUAAACCCCUUUCGCUAGGGACGAAGCUUUUUGUGACGGUACCUAGAUAAGAAGCACCGGCUAACUACGUG
rnacentral:rRNA from 1 species